UGAAAAAUCUCACCAGCCAAUAUAUAAACUUUCUUUUUUUUUUAAGUUUUUUUUUUUAGGAUUUAUUUACUAUUAUAAUUAAGUACACUGUAGCUAUCUUUAGACAGAACCAGAAGAGGGUGUCAAAUCCCAUUACAGAUGGUUGAGAGCCACCUUAUGGUUGCUGGGAUAUGAACUCAGAAACUUCAGUAGAACUGUCAGUGCUCUUACCUGCUGAGCACAACUUCUACCCACAUCAACAGCAAAUGACUGCUUCCUAUAGAAGAGGCUCUUGGUAUGAAUGAUGCUCCUAAGGCACAGGAUUAAAUAUAUAGUGCUAUCUAUUACAGAGUCAAUAUGUAUUAUACAUUAUAGUGUACUUAAUGGAUCAAGGAAAUCCGGGGUUCUCAAUGAAACCCAAAUAAAGGAAGUUAUACUUUUUAAGGACCUGCUAACAUUUUAUCUUACUUUUCCUGUUAAAACUAUUUUGUUUAAUUCUAUAUUGUUCUCUAUACUGUUUUUCUUUCCUCCUGUUAAAAAUUAAAAGUCAAUCUUAUUUGAUUUGUUCUUUCUCAAUAAUCUUCUGAUUUACACAUCAUAGUUUGUUUCCAUUGUUUCACUGUGUGUUCUGUGAACUGGUUGAUAGUUAACUAAAUUAUACAAUGCAACAAUUUCUGAUUGUUUUAAUCAUUCACUAUAUACCUCAGCCUUGAGUUUGAGUAUAAACAGCCUCCAUAGCUUGUAAUCAGGAAUGCUUCUCUCUUCUUGUUCAAUGGAGACUGCAAGUUUGGCCUGGUUAUAAAAUAAAGUUUGACAUUACACUUCAAUGGUUGCUCCUGGUUUUACAUACCAGAACAAUAUUCACUCAAAAAUGCAAUUCCGUUUGAGAUGGGUUGUACUAUAGAAGUAUCUAUGCACUUUCUCUAGCCUCCUCCAUUGGAGGCCCUGUGCUCUAUCCAGUAAAUGACUGUGAGCAUCCACUUCUGUAUUUGCCAGGCACUGGCAUAGCCUCACAAGAGACAUCUAUAUAAGGGUCAUGUUAGCAAAAUCUUGCUGGCAUAUGAAAUAGAGUCUGCAUUUGGGGGCUUAUUAUGGUAUGGUUCCCUGAGUGGGGGCAGUCUCUGGAUGGUCCAUCCUUUGAUCUCAGCGUCAAACUUUGUCUCUGUAACUCCUUCCAUGGAUAUUUUGUUCCCUAUUCUAAGGAGGAAUGAAGUAUCCACGCAUUGUCUUUCCUUUUUCUUGAUUUUUCUUGUAUUUUGGAAAUUGUAUCUUGAGUAUUCUAAGUUUCUGGGCUAAGGAGCUGAAAGGGUGUGCAACCCCAUCAGUGGAAAAACAAUAUAAGCUAACCAGUACCACAAGAGCUCAUGUCUCUAGCUGCAUAUGUAGCAGAAGAUGGCCUAGUUGGCCGUCAUUGGGAAGAGAGGCCCAUGAUCUUACAACUUUAUAUGCCCCAGUACAGGGGAACGCUGGGGCCAACAAGUGGCAAUCGGGGGGAGGUGGGGAAGGGCAGGGGGAGGUUAUAGGGGACCUUCAGGAUAGCAUUUGAAAUGUAAAUGAAGAAAAUAUCUAAUAAAAAAAAUAAAUUAAACAGCAUAGAGACAGUCAAGUG
rnacentral:lncRNA from 1 species